UACGUAGGGUGCAAGCGUUAAUCGGAAUUACUGGGCGUAAAGCGUGCGCAGGCGGUUUUGUAAGUCUGAUGUGAAAUCCCCGGGCUCAACCUGGGAAUUGCAUUGGAGACUGCAAGGCUAGAAUCUGGCAGAGGGGGGUAGAAUUCCACGUGUAGCAGUGAAAUGCGUAGAUAUGUGGAGGAACACCGAUGGCGAAGGCAGCCCCCUGGGUCAAGAUUGACGCUCAUGCACGAAAGCGUGGGGAGCAAACAGGAUUAGAUACCCUGGUAGUCCACGCCCUAAACGAUGUCUACUAGUUGUCGGGUCUUAAUUGACUUGGUAACGCAGCUAACGCGUGAAGUAGACCGCCUGGGGAGUACGGUCGCAAGAUUAAA
rnacentral:rRNA from 1 species